rnacentral:rRNA from 1 species
AUUGAACGCUGGCGGCAGGCCUAACACAUGCAAGUCGAACGGUAACAGGAAACAGCUUGCUGUUUCGCUGACGAGUGGCGGACGGGUGAGUAAUGUCUGGGAAACUGCCUGAUGGAGGGGGAUAACUACUGGAAACGGUAGCUAAUACCGCAUAACGUCGCAAGACCAAAGAGGGGGACCCUCGGGCCUCUUGCCAUCGGAUGUGCCCAGAUGGGAUUAGCUUGUUGGUGGGGUAACGGCUCACCAAGGCGACGAUCCCUAGCUGGUCUGAGAGGAUGACCAGCCACACUGGAACUGAGGCACGGUCCAGACUCCUACGGGAGGCAGCAGUGGGGAAUAUUGCACAAUGGGCGCAAGCCUGAUGCAGCCAUGCCGCGUGUAUGAAGAAGGCCUUCGGGUUGUAAAGUACUUUCAGCGGGGAGGAAGGGAGUAAAGUUAAUACCUUUGCUCAUUGACGUUACCCGCAGAAGAAGCACCGGCUAACUCCGUG